UUAAAGAUUUGUUUUUUUUAUUUUUUAAAUUAACUUAAGGUUACCAACAAUAUUCGAUUUUUAUCAAAAUUAUACCACAUGCCGAAAACGUAUUUCUCUCAUACGUAAUUCGUUGCAUACAAUAAUUUUAGGGAUAUGUUAUAUUAUUUUACGUUUGUAAAAUAUUCGAUUUUACAAUUAUUUUUUUUCUUAAUUUGUUGUUUGUUUAUUUAUUAAAAAAACGGUUAGUUAAAUUUGUAUCAUCAUUGUAUCAGUUUGGUAUCACAACACAUUAUAUAAUAUAAGAUUUAAUUCAAGUCGCUAUGGUAAAAAAAACACCCACUCAAUUUUUGUUGGAGUCCUAGUCCUAUCUGCAUCAUUCUGUGUUAUUAUGUAUCUGCAUAACAAACUUAAUUUGAAGACGAGAUCUCUCUCGGUUCUUGAGAUAUGGAAAACUCCCCGAAGGUACGCAUGUACGUACACUCGUACGACUUGCAUACCUGUAUCGAUAGCGUAUCUUUCUUUUCAUUUCAAUAACAAUAACUCCUACUUUUAUAUUUCAUUUGAUCGAAUAUACAUACAUACAUAUGUACAUACAUAGAUACAUAUAUACCUAAGAAAAUCAAACACAUUGUACCUACCUCCUUUUUGUUUUGAAAAUAAGUAUUUGAACGUAUUUUUCUUCUAUACAUUGACAAACGGCUAACCGGCAAUACUUACAAAAUUUAAAUUUGAAUUGCUCUUUUUAUUGGUAUUUGUUUUAAUUAUGGCUUUAUACAUAAUCCAUAAAUAAAUAAAUAAUAAAAUCAAGCAAUCGAUAAAAGAGUCAAAACCAUCGAACAUUGCAUCAGGUCAACUCCCACCACCGCCACGGCGGCGCCACCACAUAAGCCAACUAAAGAGAUGAGUCAAAUGCUUGGUCUAUGGAAAUUUUUGCUUCUGGAGACGUGUUCAUAACCUUAAUUGGUUCUUAAGCCUACAAAACGCUAAAAACAGUUUUGGCGCCAGUCAAUCCAAAUACGAAGUCCUACGACGAGCAUGUGUCGGUGUAGCUCCGUAAAUUGUAUGCACCAAAGAAAUUUGCCAUCGCAGAAAGAUUUAAGUUGUAUCACCGCAGUCAAAAGGCAGGUGAGCCUAUAAAAGGCUUUAUUGUAGCGUUUAAAUUUUGUCACGUGACUGUAAAUUUGGAGAGUUCCUAGAUCAAGCCAUAGAGGAAAUAUAUUAUCUAGAGUCCCGACUUAAUGGGUUUGCUCUCUUUCGGCCUACAAACUAAAUUUAGAGAAUUUUGGCCGUUAGCAUAAGCAUGUGUUAGUUCUCCCGUGCAUUUCUUAUGGGAAAGUCCAGAUUCUAUGUAGUUGUAAUGGGCUUUUGGUGAAGUUUGCACAAUUAGGGGGAAAACAAUAUGAGGUGAAUUCAGACGUUCAAAAAAGAAAUCCGUUGAAUUCAAAAAUUUAAAAAUGAAUGCAAUAUUUUUAGAAAAAUGAAUUUUAUAACUUCUUUUUAGUGAAAACUGUGCUAAAAAUAAUAUUUGAAUGCUUUUGGCAUACAAAUUAUAUGUAUUUUAUGAAAAAUUUCGCUAAAAACAGACAAAAUCGUGCUGAAAGUAUAAGCGCACCCUAGAACUAUAAUGCGAACGUGGCCCAAUUUGAGUUAUGUCAAGUUUUAACAGAUCAACAGCGAGGUGAGUAUUUUGACAAUUCUACGAAAAUGUAAACAAACCAAAAUUCAGUAUCAAUAAUAUUAAUUUAUUGAAAUAAAAAUAUAUAAUGAAUUUAAUUUAAUCCUCAGAUAAAAAAGAAACCGAGAAUUACGUAGCAACAAGAAAAGUGAAAGUGGAAACCCAGCGUAGGAAGCCAGCAACGCCGACAUAUUUAUUGUGGAGUGAAUAGGUACAAAUUGAAGUAAAAAAUUACAUUGCUCAACAAGACUGGCAAUCAAAUCGCUCUAUUCUGAUGGCUUAUAUCCUCAUUUUUAACCCUGUAGGAAUGAGAAGGGCCGAUUACAGCGAAGGGAUCGAUGUCGCAGAAGUCUGAAAAGCUUCGCUUUGCAACCUAUCUGACAUGCUUCAUUUGACGAGAUGGAUAUACAAGUCGAGAGUUAUUAUAAAGUUGAGGAAGCUCUUUACUUGGUGGUCAUUCAUAGCCAAGCCAAAUACAAAUACAAGUUGAAUUAAUUCCAGCGUGUGAUAGCAGUAGCACAUUCACGUAAUGUGCCACCAUCUUUGCAAUGCAAAGCACUUCUUUCAGCCAGCUACGGAUAGGCGAAAGAUCGCAAUGUAUGCAAGUCCUUCCUCAUCAUGUGAACAAUAGUUAAUUUAAUCUACAGUCAGUUUUUCAAGACAGUACCUACCACCGAGGAUUGGACAAUUGAUCUGUUUCACUAUGUUCUUUAUUGCAGAAAUUCACAUUUGAAUAUCUUCCUUUUACAUUUUUUGGCGAACUCUGUGAUGUAGUUGGUCUCUGGAAUUCAAUUGAAAUACCUUCCUUCAUUCAUGAUUUAUUGCUUUCAAUGCCGUCAAUAUCUUCAAUUCAAUUCUGCCUCUUGUUACCAACGAAGAAGGAGACAAGUUCGGAAAAUUUGCUGGCCAUGGUAUUUGGCUGGACGAAGAAAAAACGUCGCCUUUUUCUCUUUAUCAGUUCUUUUUGAAAAUGCCAGAUUCUGAAGUCGAGAAUCUUCUCAAGUUGUUCACGUUGUUCAAGUAGUUUUAUCCCACUGGAAGAAAUUGCAUUUCUCAUGGAACAACACAAAAAAUCACCAGAAAAGAGAAAAGCACAAACGAUUCUAGCUGAAGAUGUGACGCUUCUAGUCCAUUGAGGUGAUUUUUAAUAAACAAAUAAAUCACUUCUUUUAGCUUUUUAAGUUCAGAGGCGGAUCUUAAACAAGCUGAAAAAGUCACAGAAGCGCUCUACAAGGCAAAUGUUGAAGGACUAGGUGAACUGAAUUAAAACUAAAUCCUAUCGUUAAGAUUUUUCCACAGCCUGGACUAUCCAUUCUUGAUCUGGCACUAAAAGCUUAAUGUUUUACAACAGAGACUGAUACGAUGAGAAUCAUCACAGCUGGAGGGUUCUAUAUUAAGCAAUAGCGAACUCAAAACUUCGCACUAACAUCACACUAACUCAUCACUACAAACAUCACAUACCAUUUCUAAAUGUCUCCUUUUUGUUGGCAAGGAUGAGCAUAUGAAUAAAAACAAUUCGUUUAGCUUAUAUCCAUAUUCAAUUUUACAUUAAUUAAAAGUCAUUAAUAAUAAUAUUGUAUUCUUUUUUGUGAUAAAAAUAAAUAAUUUGAAUCAUUAAACAUGUACGAGUAGACUCCCUGGUUUGUUAAUCAUGUUUAUAUAUUUUUUAAAUACAAUGAAAUUAAUUCAAAUAUGUUUUUAAAUUCCAUUCGGCACUCAACGUUAUAAUUGGUGGUAAUUGUGAUGAUUUCCAAAUCUACAAUAUUUUUUCAAUAUUUCGCUUAAAUUUGUUUCGUGCUUUUCAUCUAGAUAAUCAAAUUUAUAUCGUUUAAAUGGGCGGGUAAAAAUUCCAACGAACAUUUUAGUUAUGUAGGUCCCAUUUUGUUCAAGGUUCGAGUUGUGCUGCCCCCAAACAACCAAAAAUGGAAUGUUUUAUAUUGGCUAAUCCGAUCAAUUUGUACAUUACCAUUUGUAUAUUCUUCAAAAUUCACUUGAUUCAACCGAAUUCACCCCUGAAGCAAAAAGCACCAACAUCUUUGAAUUCAAAACAAAUUCCUUUAUUAUUAAAGUAAAGUAAAUCAUAAAUAAUUUUGAAUAAAAAUAAUCCUAUUCAGCAAAGAAACAGUAGAAUAUACAAUGUAUACAAAAUUACACUAUAGCUAAACAAGUUGUUUGCAAAAAAGAUGUUUUCUAGAUAUACAUAGAAAUAAAUCUAGGCUUCGAUUUGACCAACUUUUACAAAAACUUUCGAUGAUAAUGCGUGUUUUUGACGUUCUUUCUUUUCGGGCGUGUUUAUGUAUUCACAAAAGUAUAUUUCAUCAAGAAACUAAGGGUAACAUCAUCGUCUGGUUUUAGUCCUUCUUCAGGUGUGAAGUUCAAUUUGAUUGUUACUUUAUUGGACUUUCGUCAGGUGGUGAAUCUAUAAAAAAAUAAGAGAAACAACAUAGAAUAAGAAUUUCCAAUUCGAUUUUUUUGUUAUUUACUUUGGUUCCUUUCGUUGAACUUUUAUUCGAAGUCGAUCAUUUGCCGUUCCUCUUCCUUGGUUGGCAGUUUCAUAAUGGUUGUGGUCAUAUGGUACAUCGUUGGGUUAGUUAGCUUGAGUGGCUUUUCACAACGCACAAGCAGAACGUCGGGCACAUGUUAGUUAGGAAACAAUUGAAUGCGAUACUUGAUCGAUCCUGGAUGGUACUCCGGCUUGAUGACAUUGUGUUCGCAUUGUCCACAACGCAGAGAUCUCUUGACACACACACACUUUCUCUGCGGAUAGAGGUUGUUCACGCUGAAUUGCCGUGACUAUAAAGAAAUUAAUUUUCAUUAUACAAGGAAAUCUGAAAUGGAAGUUGACUUACUUUUUUUGAUGUUGAUUUUCUGUGUGAAAUUCGAUGGAUUCAACUCGCCGACAUCGUCAGUAGCUGUCGAGAGACUGAUCUGAAUCUGUUUGGCUUCUUGGGGAUUCUUGUCGGACCAGCUCAUUUGCCUCCGAAUGAUUGCCACCGUUAAGCUAGUGCGAUCCUUAGGAGCAAAAUGAAUGGAUUCGUUGUAGAUUUAAAUUUUGAACUCUCUUACAGUCAAGGUUGUAUUCUUGUUUUGUUUGCGUCUCUUGCAGAACUGCAGACUGGUAGUACUCUUUGCACCUAGAAAAUGAAGAUUAAGCUAGUUGACUACGAUAUGAAUGUUUCGAUACGUACUUACACAAUUGAUGUAGAAGGGCGUCAGCGGUCGACUUCCACCUGCAUCAUUGACUUCGUUCUGUUGUUUCGAAUGGUUUUGAUGGUGACACCUCCGCCGUCAACGCCGCGGCAGCUAUUGCCAUUGAGAAGUACAUACAAAAACAAUGGGCAGUAUCUGUAAUUAAAAACAUUGAUAGUAUUUUGUUAAGAGAAAUAUAAUAUGUAUACAAAAAAUUUACCUGCAAAUCAGCGCCUUGUUUGGUUUGCCUUCCAGAUUACUUAAGGGAAAUUGCUUCCUGCAUUAUGGCACUAUCUAAAAUGAAAAGACAGACUAUAAAUAAAUCGAUUAUUGUUGCACCUCCUUCACUGCAAUUUGACUUACUUUUUAUUCAAUGAAGUAAACUUGUAUAUACCCUCUUUAUUAUAAAGAAAUUUGGUCCGAAACCUAUUGUUUUGUUUUGCAAAAUUGAUUGUCAUUUUUGACAGGUCACACAAAUUCCAUAAGUUUCUUCUUAGCCCAAUCCCCCAUUUUGCUUUUUUUUCUCUACUCACAUGUAUUCACCGAUAGCGAAUUUGAGAGAGUUUACCUCGAAUUUGAGAUAGUUCACCUCGGAUAAAAUUUGAGGGUGUUUCAGGUAGGACGGGUACCGGUCGGGACUCUAGAUAAUAUAUGAGAGACAAAUUUAUAUUUGGUCUGUAAGCAACAUCAUUACAGUUCUUGUCACAGUCAAAAGUCGAAGUUUCCGCAUGGUACACAAAACUCAACUCGUUAUAUGGAUAUGUCAAACGGCAAGUGCCAGCAAUGUGGGAAUCAUCAUAAGUACAAGUGUGCAGCUAAAGAAAUAACAUGCUACCUGUGAAAGUCCCGAGGUCAUUUUGCAAAAAACUCUUACAGUCACGUGGAAGAAGUCAAAUAAGAAGAAUAAAUGACGAAACCGAUGAUCAGUGCAGCCCUACAGAAGUCAACAAUAUUUUCAAUUUGUCUGGAAGAAAAAGUUCCCGUCUUAUUACGUCUGUCAUAAUUGAAGGUAGUGAGGGGCAGAUGGAAGUGGACACUGGAGCAUGUCAAUCUAUCAUAAGUUAUGUAGAUUAUUCUAAGAUAUUUAGUCAAUUACUUGUUAACAAUUAUUUAUUUAAUUUACAGGCAGUCACAGGUCACAAGUUGGACUGUUUGCGAAGUCAUGGUGGAGUGCAUAGAGAAAAUAUAUUAUCUAGAGUCCCGACUUAAUGGGUUUUCUCUCUUUCGGCCUACAAACUAAAUUGAGAGAAUUUUGCCCGUUAGCAUAAGCAUGUGUUAGUUUGCACAAUUAGGGGAAAACAAUAUGAGGUGAACUCAGCCGUUCAAAAAAGAAAUCCGUUGAAUUCAAAAAUCAAAAAUGAAUGCAAUAUUUUUAGGAAAAUGAAUUUUACAACUUCUUUUUAGUGAAAACUGUGCUAAAAAUAAUAUUUGAAUGCUUUUGGCACACAAAUUCUAUUGUUUUUAUGAAAAAUUUCGCUAAAAACAGACAAAAUCGUGCUGAAAGUAUAAGCGCACAGUAGAACUGUAAUGCGAACGUUGCCCAAUUUGAGUUAUGUCAAGUUUUGACAGUGAGGUAAGUAUUACGAAAAUGUAAAUGUAAACAAAACGAAAUUCAGUAUGAAUAAUACAAAUGAAAGUAAAACAAAAAUAUUAAUUUAUUGAAAUAAAAAUAUAUAAUGAAUUUAAUUUAAUCCUCAGAUAAAGAGGAAACCGAGGAUAACGUUGCAACAAGAAAAGUGGAAGCCCCGAGUAGGAAGCCAGCAACGCCGACAUAUUUAUUCUAGAGUGAAUAGGUACAGUACAAAUUGAAGGUUAAUAUGUUCAUAUUAAUUUUAAACUCAAAUUAUAUGAAUAUUGUUUUGUUUUGUUUUUUAGUUAAAAUUAAAAUUACACUUCUCACCAAGACUUUGUUCUUGGCUCUAUUCUGAUGGCUUAUAUCCUCAUUUUUAACCCUGUAGGAAUGAGAAGGGCCGACUGAAAAGCUUGCAACCUAUCUGAUAUGCUUUAUUUGUCGAGAUGGAUAUACAAGUCGAGAGUUGCUAUAAAGUUGAGGAAUGUCUUUACUUGGUGGUCAUUAAUAACCAAGCCAAAUACAAGUUGAAUCAAUUGCAGCGUGUGACAGCAGUAACACAUUCACGUAAUGUGCCACCAUCUUUGCAAUGCACUUCUUCAGCCAGCUACGGAUAGGCGAAAGAUCGCAGUGUAUGCAAGUCCUUCCUCAUCAUGUGAACAAUAGUUAAUCUACAGUCAGUUUUUCAAGGCAGUACCUACCACCGAGGAUUGGCCAAUUGAUCUGUUUCACUAUGUUCUUUUUUGCAGAAAUUCAAAUUUGAAUAUCUUCCAUUUACAUUUUUUGGCGAACUCUGUGAUGUAGUUGGUGAGGAUGUGUUUAUAAAUAAUAAAAUAAAAACUAUCUUAAUUUUCGCUUUUUCUCAUUUAUCUGAAAUUCAAUUGAAAUACCUUCCUUUAUUCAUGAUGUAUUGCUUUUGAUGCCGUGAAUAACUUCAAUUCAAAUCCGAAUCCAAUCUAUCAAUUUAGGCUUUUGAGAUAUUAUUUGUUUGUAAUUCGAAAGCUAUUAUAUAUGUACAUACAUGAAAGGCUUUUCGAAGCUAUCAAUUUUAUGAAAUAGUUUUUUCUUUCAAAAAAAAAUGUUUGAUGAUUAUAAACAUCUAUAAUAUCUUCCUUCAAUAUUUUCUUCCUUUACAAUAUUUUACUAUUUCGUAUAAUGAAUUUGUAGUCUUAAGAUUAUUAUAUCAAGUUCUUGUAAUAUAUUGGAAAAAAUACAAAAAUAAAUAACAUAAUAUAAAAUAAAAUCUAAGUUAGGUUUCGUAAUCAGCAUCCAAAAUUAAACGAAGUAUUUAUUAUUUAUAACCACAAAAGAAUUACAAUCUAGUUUUUUUCAAAACUUCAGGUAAAGUCAAAUGAAAUUAUGAAUCUUUCAUAAAUAAUAAGAAAUAACGAAAACUAAGUGAAAUAGCAAAAUGAUUUGAACUGGAGCUAAAACCAAAGAUAUGUACUUUGCAAAAUAAUCUUGCGAUUUAAAGUUAAGAGAUACGUCAUGCUUUUCUAAUGAGGUUCGAAGUCAGGAUAUCUUAAUCCUCUCAAAAAAGAACGGGUUUCUGACCACAUAAAAUCACAAAGAAAAACAUAUGAACUGAUGAACCAAAACAUAUUAAUAGUAUUUAAAAUACCAACUUUUUAAUUUUGUUAGAUUAAACAUAUGUCUGAAUAAAAAGAAUAAAAUCUACUUAAAACAGCUUAUUUGUUUUUUUAUUAUUAUUUGAACCAUAGAAUUUAAAAUAUCCGUGUUAAGAUUACUCGUAAGUAAAUGAAUGAACUUACCUGAUUUGCAUGCAUACUCUGCCGUUGCUAUUGCCGCUGUUAAGUCAUUCCAACAGUGGCGGUCAACUAUUGAAUGUCAAAGCUUUCCCUUGCACCAUUGAAUUGAAUUUCACAAAGUCGAUGACUUAGCGGUAGAUGAGGAUGUUCGCCAAUUCGGAACUGAAUUCGUGAUUCUGACGGUGUCGUUGCAUUCCGUGAAUCUUACUAUUGGCAGAGACGUUGACACCUCUAUCGUCAACGCCAGCGCCCACCAUAGCCGCUGAGAUAGAUCGCAACGGCCAUGAUACAGCAGCAAUUGAGUGUAGAAAAAUAUACUUUACUUCAACAAUCAAUAGGCUUCGAAUAACUAUUUACAAAUAAAGGCGAAAGUCUGUGGUUAAAAACAUUGAUAUUAAGAGAAAUAUAAUAUAAAAUAAAUGCACCUGGAGACUAGUGCCCUUGUUUUGAGCAAACCUUCAAAAUUUCUUGAGAGAAAUUGCUUUCUAUAUUGGUUUGUAAUCGGCAGCACCCGAAAUGAAAACACUAAGGAGAUGCUAAUAAAGUCGAUUUUUAUUCCUAUAUACAUCUUCUUGAAUUACUAGUAAAGUAUAUUAUUGGAGCAAUCAAUAGCUGAAACAAAUCAACUUAAAUAUUCUUUUGUUUACGAGAUUCUUUUUUCUGAAAAGAAACAAAUUCUGUUAAAUGUUCAGAUAAAACAAAAUAAUUUACAAAAACUUACUUGUAGAAUCCCAAAUUGAAUGUUUUGUUUUUUAAAUCGAAAUUGUGGAACUGUGAUUUUUGACAAGAAUUCAAACUGGCAUUUUGCCUUUUUUCCACCACUCACAUGUAUUAACCAAUACAGAAUUGGAGAGAGUUCACCUCGAAUAAAAUUUGAGGGUGUUUCAGGUAGGACGGGUACCGGUCGGGACUCUAGGUAAUAUAUUUCCUCUAUGGUGGAGUGGACGAAUGUUGGAGUGUCGGCGAAGGAACAUAUUCUGACGUCCUUGGUUGUAUAAACUUAUACCAAAUUGGAGAAGCAAUUUUGUAUGUGGUAAAUUGUCGGUUUCAAAGAAUUUUCAAGUAAGUCAUAUAAAGUCAAAAUUGGAAUCUACAAAAUUUUGUCCUUUAGUCAUGUCAUAGCAGGUCAUUUUGGUAAUAAUUUUGUUUCUAGUGUCGAGACGGAAAAUGUGAAAAUAUUACAAAAAUAAAAUUAAAAUUUCCACGGGUAUUUGAAAAUAAUUUAAUUUAACAAAGCCUAUCGAAGGUUUCACUGCAGAUAUACUUGUUAAUUGGCAUUAUGUGCCAAAGCAUACACUGUUCCUUUCCAGUUAAGGUCAAAAGUCGAAGUAGAGUUCGAUAGGCUAUGUCAGCUAGGCAUUAUUUCACCUAUAAAAUAUGCAGAAAACGCCAGCCAUAUAGUCGUGGUACCAAAACCAAGUGUAUCAAUAAGAAUUUGUGUGGAUUUCAAGAAAACCAUAAAUAUAUAUGUUCAGAUGGAACAUUAUCCUUUAACCAUUUGUGAAGAUAUUUUUGCAAAACUGGCUAAUGCCAGGUUCUUUUGUGUCAUAAACCAAAUAGGUGCAUAUCAACAGUUAGAGGUUACAACGGUUUCAAUAAAAUAUUAACGUAUGUAAUAGGUUACCAUAAGGUGUGUCUGCUGCAGUGGCUAUUUUCCAGAGCGUCAUUGAUGGUGUCAUACAAAAUAUAAAGAAUGCUUUCGGUACAUUGACGAUAUAUAAUCGUCAUCAAAAUAAGACUGUAAAAAUAAUUUAUAUAAGGUUCUAAGCCGUUUAAACGAUCAUAAUAUUCAAGGUAGAAUAUUUAGGUCAUUGCAUUUCAUAAAAUCGUAUAAGUCCUAGUAAGCGUAAAAUAGAAGCCGUAGUCAACGCACCCAGUCCAAAGAAUUUAACUAAACUCACAGUCUUAUCUGGGUCUCUUAAACUAUUAUAUAUUCCUAUCAAAUAAAUUAGAAAAACUAUACAACCUUUUGAAAAUAGAUAUCAAUUUUAAUUGGUAAUCUGAGUGCGAACAAUUAUUUCAAGAAAGUGUUGUUGUAAAAUAGUAUCCUUGAAUUGCAUGACGCUGAAAAAACUAUCGUCAUUUCUGCAGAUGCAUCUCCAUACGGUCUUGGAACUGUCAUGUCGCAUCUUGUCAACGGAGUAGAACGCCAUUCGUAGCCAGACCCAUAGAUGAAAUAUAUUAUCUAGAGUCCACGUAGUGAAAAUGUCCGAUUGGAAUUUUCCUCGUAAAAUAAUGUCAACCUAAACGACUUAAGAAGCCACAUAUUUUCAAUCAAUGUUAAGUUGAUACAUAUUCCAGAAAUGGUAAAAUUAUAACACAUCAAUCGGGGACAAUUUUAUUGACCAGAAGCCUCAUGAUGGCAAGACUACUUCAAACUACAAAUCGAAAUGAAGCUUAUUCGAUUUGACUUCUGCCGUUCAGUUGAUUCGACGAUAUACUUAGAAUCUUAUCCAUGAUUAGUAAAGAAUCGUCGUGGCGUACCUAGUUUUAAAAUGAAGUUUUAAUUUUUUCAAAAAUGUGCGUAAUUGGGUAUAAUUAUUGUUUUUAAAAUUCAAUUCCAUUAUAUAUUAUAGGUUUUGAAAUGUAUAUUACAGCUAGGUUCCCAAAUCGAGUAAAAUUAAAUAUAAAUCUAAAUUGAAAAUCAAGUGAAAUUGUUUUCAGGGUUCUAUCAUUUUAUGAAAUAUAUCAAAAAGCAUUUUGAUUGACUGUCAUAGUUUGUAAAAUUUAUUUUGUUUUAUUCUUGU